rnacentral:rRNA from 1 species
UACGGAGGAUCCGAGCGUUAUCCGGAUUUAUUGGGUUUAAAGGGAGCGUAGGUGGAUUGUUAAGUCAGUUGUGAAAGUUUGCGGCUCAACCAUAGAAUUGCCGUUGAAACUGGGGGGCUUGAGUAUGUUUGAGGCAGGCGGAAUGCGUGGUGUAGCGGUGAAAUGCAUAGAUAUCACGCAGAACCCCGAUUGCGAAGGCAGCAUACCGGUGCACAACUGACGCUCAGGCACGAAAGCGUGGGUAUCGAAAAGG